rfam:Phlebia centrifuga strain FBCC195 PHLCENscaffold_2871, whole genome shotgun sequence.
GCCCUCAUUGUCUAAUGGUUAUGACGUCAGACUUCUAUCAUCGCGUUGUAGCGUUGCAUAAUCUGGAGGUUGCGGGUUCGAGUCCCGCUGGGGGUU